CGCCGCAGCCUCUGUGCCAGCCUCUCUUCCUCGUUGCGGUGAACCGAGAAGGAUGGGCCGUGGCAGAGAGGCAGAACCCGAGGCCCAAACCCUCGCUAUUGGAACGAAAAGCCUGGACUUUGGCUGUCUCGAUGAGGUAACUGGAAGGUUCCCCUAACAGUCCACGGAUCACCCACUUUAUAGAGUUUGUGUUUACGUUGUCGUUUGCUGUGUAUCAAAUGUCUUUAACAGCUUUGUUGUGAAACUUACUUUUCACUGCUGAAUAAAGCAAAUUUACUUAAA